rnacentral:rRNA from 1 species
GAGUUUGAUCGUGGCUCAGAACGAACGCUGGCGGCAGGCUUAACACAUGCAAGUCGAACGCCUCAGCAAUGAGGAGUGGCAGACGGGUGAGUAACGCGUGGGAACAUACCCUUUGGUUCGGAACAACUCGGGGAAACUCGAGCUAAUACCGGAUAAGUGCGAGAGCAGAAAGAUUUAUCGCCGAAGGAUUGGCCCGCGUCUGAUUAGCUAGUUGGUGAGGUAACGGCUCACCAAGGCGACGAUCAGUAGCUGGUCUGAGAGGAUGAUCAGCCACAUUGGGACUGAGACACGGCCCAAACUCCUACGGGAGGCAGCAGUGGGGAAUAUUGGACAAUGGGCGCAAGCCUGAUCCAGCCAUGCCGCGUGAGUGAUGAAGGCCUUAGGGUUGUAAAGCUCUUUUACCCGGGAAGAUAAUGACUGUACCGGGAGAAUAAGCCCGGCUAACUUCGUGCCAGCAGCCGCCGUAAG